rnacentral:rRNA from 1 species
UACAGAGGGGGCAAGCGUUGUUCGGAAUUACUGGGCGUAAAGGGCGCGUAGGCGGCGGGGUAAGUCGGGUGUGAAAUCUCAGAGCUCAACUCUGAAACUGCACUCGAUACUGCUCUGCUUGAGGACUGGAGAGGAGACUGGAAUUCACGGUGUAGCAGUGAAAUGCGUAGAUAUCGUGAGGAAGACCAGUGGCGAAGGCGGGUCUCUGGACAGUUCCUGACGCUGAGGCGCGAAGGCCAGGGGAGCAAACGGG